GAGGACUGGUCAACCCUUCUCCAAAAUGUGGGUGACAAGGGUGCAGCCUUGGGUCGAUGGCUGGGACCAGGCAGAGGAGAACGUGGCGCUUGCGACCCCUGCACACACGGAGGCUUCGUACAGGGCGUACCUGAGCUGGUACCAGCCUCAGACUCGUUGCCGCUUGAUAUAUGCUGACAUGCAACCACAGCCGCAUGUUGCGACACCACAGGAUGGCUACGCACGACAUAGGGAUGAGGCAUUAGCUGGGGCGUUUGAAAUGUGCAGGUUGAUGGACAUAGAUGCCAGGGCGAAUUUGAUGAGGAUUCGAGCGGGAUAUAUGAUGGACAGGAAUGAGCAAGAGUCGGCCUGGACCCGAGUUUCACAAAGAGCCCAUUCCAUGCUUGAAGCCUUUGGUGGCCGGACAUCGUACGAUGACUCGUACGGUUCGUCUCAAGCCUCGAUCUCGUUUCCUUGUGGUCCCACACAGCAGCAGCCUUCCCAAGCACUUUAUUGGUCUCAGCAGCAUUAUCCAGGUACGUGAGGAUACUUACUGACUUUCUACUUUAAAGCCAACAAUUAAUUCUCAGUCCAUACAUGUGAUGCAAACCCACCUUAUCAACCUCACGGAGGGACUCAGUUUAGUACCAUGGCACCAGCUGCAGGGAUGUCAUUUCAACCAACACAGGCACCACCACGAUCUUUCGGAUCACAACAAUUAUAUGAUGCUGGACCUUAUUCGUAUUACCCUACGGCGACAGCAGAAGGAACGCAAGGAUCGCACCACCAGCUUCCUGAUAUGGGUCAUUCUUCGUAUCCAUCACCAACAGGUACGUAUGAUGAAUAUGUACCCAAAUAUAUGACUUAUAAGACGAUGAUUAAGAUAUCUUAAUUGCUACUGUAUAGGGCCCACACAGGAUACCUUU